AUGAAGUUCUUCGGUUCCUCCACGUCCAAGAAGGAGAACAAGGGGAAGAAGAGAUCCAAAAGGAGCGGCAACGGCGGCUCCUUCGCCUCGACCGCGUCGUCGUCGGCAUCAGAUGACCAGUCUGUUACAACGCUGAGAUCCGUCCUGCCGUCGUCUUCGGGGCCGGCGGUACCGUCCGGCUCCGGGACGACCAAGAAACCGGCCCUGGUCGCCGUGACGCGGCUGGAGCUGGAGGUGGCGCUGCGUACAGUCGUGUCGACCGAGGAGGAGCUGGCCGCGAUGCUCGCCGAGGCGGAGGCCGGCCUCGCGCUUGAGGGGAUCGUGGCCGCGGAGGCCGCGGACGAGGGCGAGCUGAGGGACACAUUUGCGGUGUUUGACGCUGACGGGGACGGGAGGAUCUCCGCCGAGGAGCUCCGUGCCGUGUUGGCCUCCCUCGGCGACGAGCGGUGUUCCGUUGAGGACUGCCGCCGCAUGAUCGGCGGCGUCGACACCGACGGCGACGGCUUCGUCUGCUUCAACGAGUUUACGCGCAUGAUGAUGCUUGCGCCGUGA
rnacentral:rRNA from 1 species